CUUUUUGUUGUUGCCGUUUUAUUAUUUUUUGGCAUAUGUUGUCUGGACAAUGCAAUUUGCAUUGUCAUACUGGGUUUGCAUUUAUUUAUUGCAGUUUUUUUAACUCCGUAAUUUGUUGUCUCUGAAGCACUUACAAUUUAUAUUUUUUAUGCAAACGUAGAUUAUUGACGCUUGCACAUACUUGUUGACGAGACAACAAGAUGAAGGGUGCUUUACAAAAAAUGUCAAUCCCAAAUAUUGCGGCCGUAGUCUGAUAUUCCCUAGUUUAUUGUUGAAAUGCAUACGGAUGUCCGUAAAACCACUGGAAAUGUUGGAGCACUUCCUUGUUGGAAAAAUGUCGGUGAGUAUCGGUACUUUAUUUUUCCGCUAAACUCAGAAAAAGGUCCGAUAGAUAAGUACCCCCACUGGACAUAGUUGGUGUAUGAUAAAAAUAUAAGCUCAUGGAAGCACUUCAACUCGUUUCGUCCAAGGAAGAAAUGUAAAGAUCAAUACUUUGUUGAUGCUGAGGACAUGAUUACGUUCCUAGAGAGCAUGGAGGACAAAUUUAAUUUGGGGAUUGUAGUAGGAGCCGACACCGAUUAUGUUUCAACAUCGCCGCAACAGAAACCAAAAUCAGUUGAUUGUGGGAUGUUUGUCUUGUAUAUUGCAAGACAAUUCUGCAUGCAACAGCCGUUAGUGAAAAAAACUGCAGAAGCUGGGAUCGCUGAACUCCGAAAAACUUUUGUUCAUUUGUUCUUGAACGAUGAAGACACUGUUGAUUUUGAUUAGAGAAAAAAAGACAUUUACUUUGUGUUUUGCAGAACUAUGUUUUUAAGUUGUGGCAUUGAACUUUUGCAGGAUAUUGAUAUGAAUUAUAAUCUAAUAUAUUCCA